rnacentral:rRNA from 1 species
UACGGGGGGGGCAAGCGUUGUUCGGAAUUACUGGGCGUAAAGGGCGCGUAGGCGGCCUGCUAAGUCGGACGUGAAAUCCCCCGGCUCAACCGGGGAACUGCGUCCGAUACUGGUGGGCUCGAAUCCGGGAGAGGGAUGUGGAAUUCCAGGUGUAGCGGUGAAAUGCGUAGAUAUCGGGAGGAAUACCAGUGGCGAAGGCGGCGACCUGGGCCAAUACUGACGCUGAGGUGCGAAAGCGUGGGGAGCAAACAGG